rnacentral:rRNA from 1 species
UACAGAGGUGUCAAACGUUGCCCGGAAUUAUUGGGCGUAAAGGGCGCGUAGGCGGUUGGAUAAGUCAGCUGUGAAAUCACUGGGCUCAACCCAGUAAUUGCAUUUGAUACUGUCUAGCUUGAGUUGGGUAGAGGAGGGCGGAAUUCCCGGUGUAGCGGUGAAAUGCGUAGAUAUCGGAAGGAACAUCAGUGGCGAAAGCGGCUUCCUGGUCCAGCACCGACGUUCAGGCACGAAAGCGUGGGGAGCAAACAGG